rnacentral:rRNA from 1 species
CCAAUCCUGACACAGGGAGGUAGUGACAAGAAAUAACAAUACAGGGCAAUUGUCUUGUAAUUGGAAUGAUGGUGACGUAAAAUCUCACCAGAGUAACAAUUGGAGGGCAAGUCUGGUGCCAAGCCGCGGUAAUUCCAGCUCCAAUAGCGUAUAUUAAACUUGUUGCAGUUAAAAAGCUCGUUUGAAUUUCUGCGUUGCCCGACUCGGCUACUUGCCUUGUCUGGUUUCGCUUUUGGGGU